rnacentral:rRNA from 1 species
CGAUGUCAACUAGCCGUUGGGACUCUUGAAGUCUUAGUGGCGCAGCUAACGCACUAAGUUGACCGCCUGGGGAGUACGGCCGCAAGGUUAAAACUCAAAUGAAUUGACGGGGGCCCGCACAAGCGGUGGAGCAUGUGGUUUAAUUCGACGCAACGCGAAGAACCUUACCUGGCCUUGACAUGCAGAGAACUUUCCAGAGAUGGAUUGGUGCCUUCGGGAACUCUGACACAGGUGCUGCAUGGCCGUCGUCAGCUCGUGUCGUGAGAUGUUGGGUUAAGUCCCGUAACAAGCGCAACCCCUAUCCCUAGUUGCUAGCAGUUCGGCUGAGAACUCUAGGGAGACUGCCGGUGACAAACCGGAGGAAGGUGGGGAUGACGUCAGGUCAUCAUGGCCCUUACGGCCAGGGCUACACACGUGCUACAAUGGUGCGUACAGAGGGCUGCAAACCCGCGAGGGGGAGCUAAUCUCACAAAACGCAUCGUAGUCCGGAUCGGAGUCUGCAGCUCGACUCCGUGAAGUCGGAAUCGCUAGUAAUCGCGAAUCAGAAUGUCGCGGUGAAUACGUUCCCGGGCCUUGUACACACCGCCCGUCACACCAUGGGAGUGGAUUGCACCAGAAGUGGUUAGUCUAACCUUCGGGAGGACGAU